GAAGCAGUGCUAGAGCAUCUCGGUUCGAGUCCGAGUGGCGGCA
rnacentral:tRNA from 2 species